rnacentral:tRNA from 1 species
AUUUUAUUAGUAUAAUAAGUAUAGUUGUUUUCCAAACAAUAGGUUUAAUAAAUUUAAAUAGAAUA